AGCCCCGCCCCGCUAGGGCGGGGCCUGCGCCUGCGCGCUCAGCGGCCGGGCGUGUAACCUACGGGUGCGCGCCCACGACCGCCAGACUCGAGCAGUCUCUGGAACACGCUGCGGGGCCCCAGGGCCUGAGCCAGGUCUGUUCUCCACGCAGGUGUCCCGCGCGCCCCGUUCAGCCAUGUCGUCCGGCAUCCAUGUAGCGCUGGUGACUGGCGGCAACAAGGGCAUCGGCUUGGCCAUCGUGCGCGACCUGUGCCGGCUGUUCUCGGGGGACGUGGUGCUCACGGCGCGGGACGUGACGCGGGGCCAGGCAGCCGUACAGCAACUGCAGGCGGAGGGCCUGAGCCCGCGCUUCCACCAGCUGGACAUCGACGAUCUGCAGAGCAUCCGCGCCCUGCGCGACUUCCUGCGCAAGGAGUACGGGGGCCUGGACGUGCUGGUCAACAACGCGGGCAUCGCCUUCAAGGUUGCUGAUCCCACACCCUUUCAUAUUCAAGCUGAAGUGACGAUGAAAACAAACUUCUUUGGUACCCGGGAUGUGUGCACAGAAUUACUCCCUCUAAUAAAACCCCAAGCUGAUAUGUGCCAUUUUGCCUCA
rnacentral:sRNA from 1 species